GGAGAGGUGCCAGAGCGGUUGAAUGGGCUGGUCUCGAAAACCAGUAAAGGACUAGUGCCUUUCGGGAGUUCGAAUCUCCCCCUCUCCG
rnacentral:tRNA from 1 species